rnacentral:rRNA from 1 species
CCUAGCGUCUGGACAUCCACAGAACUUUCCAGAGAUGGAUUGGUGCCUUCGGGAACUGUGAGACAGGUGCUGCAUGGCUGUCGUCAGCUCGUGUUGUGAAAUGUUGGGUUAAGUCCCGCAACGAGCGCAACCCUUAUCCUUUGUUGCCAGCGGUUCGGCCGGGAACUCAAAGGAGACUGCCAGUGAUAAACUGGAGGAAGGUGGGGAUGACGUCAAGUCAUCAUGGCCCUUACGACCAGGGCUACACACGUGCUACAAUGGCAUAUACAAAGAGAAGCGACCUCGCGAGAGCAAGCGGACCUCAUAAAGUAUGUCGUAGUCCGGAUUGGAGUCUGCAACUCGACUCCAUGAAGUCGGAAUCGCUAGUAAUCGUAGAUCAGAAUGCUACGGUGAAUACGUUCCCGGGUCUUGUACACACCGAGGGGCGGUAGGAA